rnacentral:rRNA from 1 species
GUAAUCUGCCUUAGGGUGGGGGACAACAGAGGGAAACUUCUGCUAAUACCCCAUAUGUGGCGAGUUGAAAUACUCGUUAUGAAAGUUCCGGCGCCUUAAGAUGAGCCUGCGGCUGAUUAGUUUGUUGGUGAGGUAAUGGCUUACCAAGACUAUGAUCAGUAGCUGGUCUGAGAGGAUGAUCAGCCACAAUGGGACUGAGACACGGCCCAUACUCCUACGGGAGGCAGCAGUAGGGAAUUUUGCGCAAUGGGCGAAAGCCUGACGCAGCAACACCGCGUGAGUGAUGAAGCAUCUUGGUGUGUAAAACUCUGUCAGUAGGGACGAAUUUUGACGGUACCUACAAAGGAAGCAUCGGCUAACUACGUGCCAGCAGCCGCGGUAAGACGUAGGAUGCAAGCGUUGUCCGGAAUUAUUGGGCGUAAAGAGUUCGUAGGCGGCAUGAAAAGUCUGGUGUUAAAGCCCGAGGCUCAACCUCGGUUCGGCAUUGGAUACUUUCAAGCUAGAGUACAGAAGAGGCAAAGGGAAUUCCUAGUGUAGCGGUGAAAUGCGUAGAUAUUAGGAGGAACACCGGUGGCGUAAGCGCUUUGCUGGGCUGUAACUGACGCUGAGGAACGAAAGCCAGGGGAGCA